GAUUUGCAAGCUUUAGAGGGUGUACGACGAAUGCCUAGGGACAGAUUGCCGAAGAAGGGCGCGAAAGCGGCGAAACGCUCAGGGGAGCUGCACAGAAGUGUUGAUCCUGAGAUCCCCGAAUGGAGAAAUCCUAUCAGAGUAAUGUCUGGUAAUCCAUCGCUGAAUACAUAGGCGUUGAGAAGGCAACCCGGUGAACUGAAACAUCUAAGUAACCGGAGGAAAAGAAAUCGAAGAGAUUCUGCAAGUAGCGGCGAGCGAACGCGGAGGAGCCUAAACCAGUCGGCUUGCCGGCUGGGGUUGUUGGGAUCACUACUACCAUCCCCCUCGUUAAACAGGGGACUUCGGAUGGAGGCCUGAAGAGAAAUCGACGGAGCUUGCAUUCGAGGUUGGUAGAAAAGGGUACCGAAGAGGUUAAAGGAACAGGACUGGAACGUCCGGCCGUAGAGGGUGACAGCCCCGUAUUUAAAAACCAAAUCGAACUCAAGUGACACCCGAGUAGCACGGAGCACGUGGAACCCCGUGUGAAUCCACCGAGACCACUCGGUAAGGCUAAAUACGAUCUGUCACCGAUAGUGCAUCCAGUACCGUGAGGGAAAGGUGAAAAGAACCCCGGGUAGGGGAGUGAAAUAGAACCUGAAAUCGUACAACCCACAAACAGUCAAAGCACCAUGUCUAGAGCAAUCUAGUCAAGUGUGAUGGCGUACCUUUUGCAGAAUGAGCCUGCGAGUUGUUGGUAUUGGCGAGCUUAAGUCGUUCAGCGACGGAGGCGGAGGGAAACCGAGUCUGAAUAAGGCGUCAAGUCAGUACCAGCAGACCCGAAACUGCGUGAUCUAGCCAUGGCCAGGUUGAAGUGGUGGUAACACACCAUGGAGGACCGAACUCAUUGAUGUUGAAAAAUCUCGGGAUGAGCUGUGGUUAGUCCGGUGAAAUGCCAAUCGAACGCAGAGAUAGCUGGUUCUCCCCGAAAUGCAUUUAGGUGCAGCGUAUUGUGUUUUUCAAUGGGGGUAGAGCACUGAAUGGACUAGGGGCCUUACCGGGUUACCGAAUCCAACCAAACUCCGAAUACCAUUGAAGCAGCAAUGCAGUGAGACGGCGAGUGAUAAGAUCCGUCGUCAAAAGGAAAACAAUCCAGAUCGACAGCUAAGGGCCCUAAACGUGGACUAAGUGUGAAACGAUGUGAGAUCGCGUAAACAGCCAGGAGGUUGGCUUGGAAGCAGCCACCCUUUAAAAAGUGCGUAACAGCUUACUGGCCGAAUGUGGUCUUGCGCGGAUAAUGUAUGGGGGCUAAAGUCCACUCCCGAAGCUUCGGGAUCAGUUUACUGAUCGGUAGGGGAGCGUCGUGUUCAGCAGUGAAGCUAGAGCGUAAGCACUGGUGGAGCGGACACGAGUGAGAAUGCAGGCAUGAGUAGCGAUUACACAGGUGAGAAUCCUGUGCGCCGAAAACCCAAGGUUUCUCCGGCUAUGUUCGUCAGACGGAGGUUAGGCGGUCCCUAAGGUCAGGCCAGAAGGCGUAGCCGAUGGACAUCCGGUCGAAAUUCCGGACCCAGGACAAGGGCAAUGGGAAGACGCUUCUCAAUAUUCCAUCCCGCACUGUUGGUUGUUGCGGGCUAGGCUUAGGCUGGGCGACUUGAAAGAGUAGCGGAAAGGCUGAAGCCGGGGAAGGGAUCCCUUCGGGGUGAACGAACUGGAAUUGAGGGGGGCCGAGAAAAUCCCCACAGCAAUACCUUGUUUCUGACCGUACUGUAAACCGACACAGGUGGGUGAGUCGAGGAGACUAAGGCGUUCGAGAGAACUCUCGUUAAGGAACUAGGCAAACGAGCCCCGUAACUUCGGGAUAAGGGGCGCCUCGAAAGAGGUCGCAGCGAAGCAGCCCAGGCGACUGUUUACCAAAAACACAGGUCUCUGCUAAGGUGAAAACCGAUGUAUAGGGGCUGACGCCUGCCCAAUGCCAGUAGGUUAAUCGGAGAUGUCAGGGGGUAACCCUGAAGCAUCGAAGUGAAGCCCUGGUGAAUGGCGGCCGUAACUCUAACGGUCCUAAGGUAGCGAAAUUCCUUGUCGGCUAAAUACCGACCCGCAUGAAAGGCGUAACGACUUGGGCACUGUCUCAACGAGAAGCUCGGUGAAAUUGUAGCACCCGUGAAGAUGCGGGUUAUGCGCAGUAGGACGGAAAGACCCCGUGGAGCUUUACUACACCCUGACAUUGUGAAUUGGAUGUAGAUGUAGAGCGUAGGUGGGAGCUUCGGCACCAAUGGAACACCACCCUUCUGCAUCUGGUUUACUAACCCUUGCCCUUAUCGGGUACGGGGACAAUGUCUGGCGGGUAGUUUGACUGGGGCGGUCGCCUCCCAAAAGGUAACGGAGGCGCCUAAAGGUGCACUCAGGCUGGUUGGAAAUCAGCCGUUGAGCGUAUAGGUAUACAGUGCGCUUGACUGCGAGACAAACAGGUCGAGCAGGGACGAAAGUCGAGCUAAGUGACCCUCUGGUGGUGCGUGGGCACGCCAGGGUUCAUCGGAUAUAAGCUACCCCGGGGAUAACAGGCUGAUCUUGCCCGAGCGCUCACAGCGACGGCAUGGUUUGGCACCUCGAUGUCGGCUCGUCGCAUCCUGGGGCUGUACACGGUCCCAAGGGUUCCGGAGUUCACGGAUUAAAGCGGCACGCGAGCUGGGUUCAGAACGGCGUGAGCCAGUUCGGUCCCUAUCCACUGCGCACGUAGGAAAUUUGAGAGGAGUCGCUCUUAGUACGAGAGGACCGGAGUGAACCGACCUCUGGUGUACCAGUUGUUCCGCCAGGAGCAUACGCUGGGUAGCCACGUCGGGCAAGGAUAAGCGCUGAAAGCAUCUAAGCGCCAAGCCCACCUCAAGAUUAGAUUUCCCAUCAUAAGAGUAAGACCCCCGGAAGACUACCGGUUUGAUAGGUCGCGGCUGUGAGUCUGGUAACAGAUUAAGGUGAGCGAUACUAAGUGGUCGAGGGCUUGAAU
rnacentral:rRNA from 1 species